UUAGUGAUUCAUCAGGACAGACUGUACCUCACACUUGGAAAGUAGCUAAAUCUGCAGUGGAAAAUGUAUCUAGCCCACCCAAAGCAAGACUUUCCUGUACAACUGCCAUACAAAAAACAACUCUGGCAUCACGGCCAGCCCACCAGCCGUGGAGCUACAUUGGAGGACCAUCACAAUCAAAAUGGAUAAAAACAAAUUAUUCUACUACAUCUGAUGAUGAUCCCUGCAUAAUAUGCCAUGAGGAGCUAAGCCAGGAAGAUUUGUGUGUGCUAGAAUGUGGACACAGUUUUCACAAACGAUGUAUUGCAACCUGGCUUAAAACACAAAGUACGUGUCCAACAUGUCGAGUUCAUGUUCUGUUACCUGAAGAUUUCCCUAAGCUUCCUGGAAGAAACCGACAUGCUUAAAUCUUGCCUUACUGUUAAUAUUUAGAUUAGAUGCAAUUCAUGUUAGUAUCUGCAAAUUAUCUUGGUAACAAAUGUAUAUGUGUAAUGUGCUGCCUAGAAACAUAGGCAAACUCCCUGGCUCUGUUGAAGUCAGUGACAAAACUCCUAUUAAUGUCAUUGAAGCCAGAAUUUCACUGAGUUUGUAGGUUAUCAAAUAUAUAUUAGCAUUUUUAUUCCCAUGAAAAUGUAAAAACAAAAAUUAAACCAGUUAAUUUUAAAUUCUGAAAAUGCUGACCUUUUUUCUGAUUACUGGCCAAAUGGAUGUAUGUAUUAACAUAUGUUAAGGUAUCUCAAAGAGGAUUUUAUGUAGCAUUGUUUUAUUAAAUUAUCUGGUUCAUAUAUUUAAACUGAACAAAAUGGAUAUGCGAAGUUUAUCAGGGUAAAAUAUGGGGUAUUUUUUACUUUAAAGAGUUACCUGAGCCACAAAGGCCACCAAAUAUACCUUCUUCAAGGGAAAGCCUAUGUGCUUCAUCCUUGGAAGAGGAAGAGUGAUCACUCUUGAGAAUUCAAGCAAAUGUUUAUGUAAUUACGUAAGCAGCAUUCAGAGACUGAGGAACCUAAUUUUUAGGACCUACACCAGUUCACACAGUGUCCUUUUAUUGAAAAAUUCCCACCUUUAACAGGUCACUGAGAUACCACCUGACUCCAAAUUGACCAUUUGUAAAAAUCUGUCUUGUAUAUAAAAAAGACUUCAGCUGACAUUUACAUGGAAAAAAAUCAAAAUUCCAGUGAGUGAAUUUAAUUAACAUUCUCUUGCAGAGUUGGAACACAAAUAGUGUUUCUCAUCUUGCUCAGUCAAAAUAGAUUAAAAAGCUUAAAUAAUGAAAAGUAGAAUCUUUAAAAAACUUUAGUUUUAUUUUCUUUGCUCUUUAUAGCAUAUUUUAAAUGAUUUUCUUGAGUUUAAAAUCAGUAAAUCUCCCAUGUAUACACACAGUAGUGAUUUUAAUUAGAUACUUAAAUCACUUCUUCAGAAUCUCUCUCACUACUGUUGGUUUUUUAUAGCUGUUUCCACACAAACCCUGUUUUGUAUAAACCACAAAUUUAAGUAUUUUGGAUUAGACUAAAAUAUUUUAUAUUUCGAAUAACUAUUGUAUUGACAUUUUCUGAGCAUAGACAUCCAAGCAAAUUAUUUAUUCACUAUUAUCAUGUUCUUUAUUCUAACCUAAUAAGUGGUUUAAAUCUUCUGCUAUUGCAUGAAGUUUGAUUUUUUUUUUUGUUCAAAGUGAUGUAAGAACUUGCAUCAUCUUAACAUUUCCAGUUAGAGGAAAAUGGAAGUAUCAUAAUUCGUAUUUAUAUUGAAAUUGUAUCCUCUGUGUGGUCACUGGCUUAUCUCUUGUUCCUUGAUAUAAGUAGGGUAAAUGCAGCUGGAAAAUUAAAUUUGUUACAUUACUUUUUAUUGAACCAGUCUAAAAUGUUUCUGACUUAAGUUUAGUGCUGGUCUUUUCUAAUUGUCCCCUCAUUUACAACAAAAUGCUUGCAGUUGGAGCACUUCCUAAAAAAAAUUGCUCAGAACUGCCUCUACUGGCCUAAUAUUUUGCAUUAGUCAUGUAGCUUUUUCCUGAAGAUCUGUAAAAUGGCUGAAUAAUUUGUCACAGCUACUUGAAGACCAAAACUAAACUAGAUACCACCAAACAUUUCAGACUCUGAAGUCAAGCGUAUUAAAAUUGACUGGUUACAUGAAAUAAGCGUAUUAAAAUUGACUGGUUACAUGAAAUAAAAUGUCUAAUAUAACAAUCUUUUCUGAUGCUGUGCUUCUUUUGAAGUUUUUUUUAAAUCUACCUUGUAAUCAAUUUAGUAUGUUUAAUGUUCAUUUGAGGCUUAUCAACUAAAAAAAUUUUCUACUUCUAAAAUAUGUGUUUUCUUUGUAUAAAAAGUGAGUAUGUUUUACAUAUGUAACUAUAAACUAAGUUAUUACUUACACUGAAAGUCAUAUCUUACCUAUACAUAAGAUUUCCUUUCUUAGGAGUAACCUCACUCACGAUGCAUGACCUGAACACAAAAUGAGUUUGAUACCCCUGGUGUACAUAGACUUUCAUAGGUGAUACUGAUGUGGAGAUAUGGGGAUAUGCAGGUAAGCUAAAGUUCUUAGAAAUCAGAAAAUGAUUGAGAAAUAUUAUAGCUAAAGCUCUAUCUUGACUUUUUUUCUAUGUAGGUGAGGUUAUGGCACAUCAGGAUAUCCAGAUUAAUAUUAGAGCUCAACCAAACAACAUGAAAGCAUAAAGGGUAGAGCAGGGCCAAAACCAUCUUGGUUCUUUCUUGCCACCCCGACAUUGAGACAGAACGUGGGCUGUACUUACCUUCUUCCCCCCUACUUGCACCUCAUUAUAGUAGAAGCUUAGUUGUAAUUAGCUAACUACCUUCUUGGCCAGAAACUCCAGUUGUCAGUUAUUGAGAUUUGAAGGGCAGAAAAGGCCUCGCUGCAGUCAACCUUCUGAGAAUAGGUGAAGAAGCAACAUUGUUCCAAAGACAAACCUAAACACUGGUCUUCAGUAACAGUGAGUCCAAGACACAAGUCAUAAUUUCUUGGAUUCAUUUCAGAUUCCACAGUCAAAAAGUGGUAAACAACCCAGACUGGGUCGCUCUAACACCUCAACACGGACCACGUAUUGAGUGACUCCAGUAUCAUCCAGCUCUGCGGACUGCAGCCCCUUUAGUAUGCCCUCCUAUACCUUUGUCCUCAGCACCAAGUUCUUGAGCACUGACAUUCUGCAGCCCAGAAAAUCCCACAGUUACAAUAGAUAUGGCUUAUUGCCCGUCUGGCUGCAGUUUCCCUCAGACAGCUCACAAUCGUAAUACAACCUGUUUGAGUGAUACCCCAUUCUCCUUUUACUGCCAGAUCUUCAGAGUCUGUGGCAACUGUAACAUUCAAUUUGAUCCUAACUUCAGUCAUUUUUGGGCUGUAGCGCAUGUACCAUUUCUUCUUCUGGGGUGAUUACUCAAUAGUGGGAUGAUCUUAGUCACCAAGGACCAGCCCUCCUGCCCCUACUUCAGGCAUGGCAGAGCUAAUGUGCAGACGUUGAGCUAAAUCCAAGCAGUGGUCUAUUUGUGAGGCUGCUUUUAUAGGCACUUUGUAAGGCAAAUUAUGCCUUGCCUGUUCUCAGCCAACCAAUCCUUGCAUUUCUAGGGCAGGGGCUGUGUUAGAUAGACUUGUCUGGUCCUCACCCAGUCCCAGAGCUGCCGCAAUUCCGAUACAGGAAAGAUUGUGUGUUCCUAAGCAGACCCAGGAGAGACUCCAAGGGCGAGGAGGACUUUAGCCAGCCAGGUCAGGUUCCCUAGCUGAUGGCAGGCUGAAGAGAGCCUGCGCUUGUCCAAAAAAAGAGAGAGAACGGUGAUCCAGCACUCAACCUACUCCUAUGCUGCAAGCAGAAAAGAGGGGUAUAAUACUAGGUUGGAAUGUCCCAGACAAGGCACAGUCAUUCAGAUGUGGAUUGGGGAGCAGUUAAGACUCAGUCUGAUUCCAGCAAUCAGUCUGAUUCCAUAGCAGUGGUCAGAAGAGGCAUACACAGAGACAAUGAGGCUUUGUCUACACUACAAGGUUUUUGCGCAAAAACCAGCGGAGCGUCCACACCUCAAGUGUGUUUUUGCACAAAAAACACAGUAAAUCGACAGGACAGAGGGCUUUUGAUUCUCCGCCAGUUCCUCCUGACCGCGAAUGGAGUGAACGCUCUCUCGUUAAAUCCUGUCAGGGAUUGAGAGAAGAAAUUGUUUGUUGUUAGUUAGUAGUAUAGUUAUUAGUUGUUACAGUUGUAGUCAGUUAGUUUGUUCUAGUGUUAACAUCAUUUAAAAAAUAUACAGUAAAACUCCAAUAGUCCAACACCCAAUUAUCCAGCACUCCCGAUAGUCUGGCAUCAAAAUGGCAAGCGCUCCUGACGGAACUGGGAUGGAACCCGGAACUGCUCAGGUCAGCCGCUCUCACGUGGGUUACAACAGGGAGUGGAGGGGUUUGGCUCUGGGGAAGGGGAGGGGGAUUGGGUUACGCAUGGUGUCCUGGCCAGCUCAUUGAAAAGCCAGCCACUCAGAGUACGUGUCCCAGUGCCUGGAGGGAGACUCGCGUCUACUGGUGGCUCCGGGACCCAAGCAUAAGGUUGCGGGGAGUGGGAGCAGGAUUGGGUUGGGAGUAUGCAGUACCUCCUGAUACUCUAGCAUAUCCGAUAAUCCGGCACCACCUAGAUCCCAAAGGUGCCAGAUUAUUGGAAGUCUACUGUAUAUAUAGUAAUAUUCGUAGCUUGGCUAGUUCUCUCCUUCAAUUAGAGAACAGAAGACCUCCGAUUGAGCCAUGCCUGGCUCCCCUGAUUUUAAAAAGUGUGGCACAUGCUGCGAGCCCAUGCUCACCUCAGACAGGCAUUCACUCUGCAUACGGUGCCUGGGUAAGGGACAUAUUCCACAAAAAUGUCCCCACUAUUCGAAACAUGGCGUGAGCUAGGUAAGACAGGGAGAUGAGGCUGAAAAUGCUAUUAUUUGAUAAAGCGUUACAGUCGUCUGAGACUGAUUCCUUCCAACCCCCUGAAUCGGCCGGAACCACCAAAUGUCAACCGGCUUCGCCUAAGACUGCCCACGCAAAGAGGAGGCCUUUUCCCUCAUGUUCCUUGCCCCCGACUCACGUUAGCAUGGGACAAACUGGGCACAUUGGACAUGGCUAUCAUCCGCUGACUCAAUACACACAAGCAGGGCCCGAGUAUCUCGGCGCCAAAUCCAGCACCUCCCAGAGAUUAGGCACCAAAAACCGCUGCUGCAACUCACCUGGCACCAAGCCCUGAACCGGCGCCAAAAUUGGCACAAAGGACAUAUACGUUGCUGGCACCAACGACGACUUUGCCACCACUAGUGCCUACGGCACCAGAUUCCCCAGCACUGACUAUAUCAGCACCGGUGUGCCACCAAGUGUCAGCAUCAGCCACACAGUCGGCUCCACGGCACUGCUCAUUGCCAACACCUACUUUGCACACAACCAUGCAACUGGCACCAACGCAAACCUUGACACCGGCGCCAAUGAAAGCAUGCCAAAAAUCAUGCAAGCUGCCAACACCUUCACCCAGUCCGGAACACACUGAAUUUUUUCCAGAACCACCUUCUCUGUCUCCAGCUCAAUCCUUUCCAUCUGAUUAUUCACCUAGGCACCAGCCCAUGAGGCAGUUACUAUUCACCAUCUUACACUUUGCCUCAUUAUCAUCAUCGGCACCGAGAUUCAUUCAAGAGGCAGGUCGCAAUCACUCACACUCUCCUCCUCCUGCAGACACCACGAUCCUCACAGAGGUAGAUACUCCCCUCGACAUUCUCCACCUCGCGCAUGCCACUAUGAUAGACCACACAGAUAUCACCACUAUUAUCACAGACCUCUUUCAUACACUCCAUGGUGCGACAAGAUAAGAUCGCCUUCCUGUCAGCAACCUUGCACCUCAGGCAACCGGACAAAUUCUCCAGCUCCAUCAGCAACAAGACCUCCCACUCCAAUUGGAAUCUCCUUCCCCCCACCCCUCCAGCCACAUCCCGUUCCUCACCAGUUGGAACCAGAAUAGGGCCAGCUGUCAGACCAUGAGGAGCCACAAGGACACUACCCUACAGACAACUUAUCCUCGUCACCAGAUGACACCAUCUUCCCCAGUGACGCAUCUCCCACUGACGACAUCUGACCGGUUUCAAGAAUUAUUCAAGAGAGUUGCUGAUAGCCAACAGGUGCAACACUCUGAGGUCCAACAAAAACAGCAUAGUUUAUUAAGAAACCUGCAACCGUCCCAGAGCUUGAAAGUCGCCCUCACACUUGAUGAGAUUUUAGAAAUAGCAGAUGAUAUGUGGCAGACACCAGCCUCAACCCCCGCUACAAAUACGAAAGCAGACAAGAAAUACUUGGUUCCUACUAAGGGCAUGGAAUUCCUCUUUACACAUCCACAACCAAAUUCUCUUCUUGUGGAUGCAGCACAACAGAGGGCUAAAGCUCCUCAGUGCAAGGGCAGCAACAAUGACAAGGAAAGCAAGCAUCUAGAUCUCUUUGGAUGGUAAGUCUACUCAUACGCCACAUUAACUUAAAGGAUGGCCAAUUAUGCCGUGCUCCUGGCCAAUCACAAUUUUGAUAACUAUUCGAAAUUGGUUCCACUUCCAGAACAUCUGCCAGAUAGUAAGUGUGAAGUACUCAGGGCAGUAGUACAGGAAGGAUAUAUGGCUUUCCAGACAGCUCACCACAUAGCCCUUGAUACCGCAGCUAUGGCAGCACAAACCACAGCCACAUCGGUGGUCAUGCGCAGAACGUCAUGGCUUCAGCAAGCAGCAGUACCAAAGGACCUCCUGUCAAAGGUCAAGGACCUCCCCUUUGACAGGCAGAGUCUUUUCGUGGAAGAGACUGACCAAGUUCUCCAUUCUGAUAAGGACUCCAGGACUACACUUAGGACUGUGGGCACAUAUACACAGCCUUAUCGUCAGAAAUGAUAUAUGCCCUACCAGAAACAAAGGCCAUUCUCACACCUCAGUAUAGACAACAGGAACAUCAACGCAACAGACAAAGACAGCAGAAAAGACAACCACAAAUUAGACCGCCUAAUCAACAGAACACCAGACAGCAGGUUUGACACCUCGGUCAAGGGACUGCAGACCAUUCUGCUGGCCAUUCACCAUCAUGCCACAAACGCACUUUUUCACCAUCAGCUGAGGCCAGUCCACCAACGAUGGGCCUAUAUCACCACCAACCAAUGGGUCCUACAGCUAAUUGUGUUGGCUACACCAUCCCUUUUAUUUCACUUCCUCCUCCCACCUCUCCGUUCCCGUCUCUCUUCAGGGACCCAUCUCACGAGUCUCUCUUAAAACAAGUGAUGACCUUUGACGACUAAAUCGGUACCUUCGCAAACAAUGCUUCAAGAUGGUGACCCUGGAGAUUGGUUUACAUCCCUCGACCUGCAGGAUGCCUAUUUUCAUGUGACCGUUCACCCAGCUCAGUGGCAUUUUCUACGUUUUCAAGUCAGUUCAGAGUAUUUCUAGUACAAAGUUCUGCCUUUCGUUCUUUCAUCAGCCCCCAGGGUUUUCUCGAAGACACUGGCGGUAGUGACAGCUUACUUACGGCGCGUGGGAAUCAUCCUAUUCCCUUAGCUCGACGACUGCCUGAUUGGAGCACCUUCUUUUGACGAAGCACUUCAGGCUACCAACAUAACAAGAACCGUAUUCGAAGCAUUUGGUCUUAUAAUCAACAUUGCAAAGUCAUCCAUGAUGCCUCAACAGUCCAUAGAAUUUAUAGGUGCACGCCUCAACUCUGCCAUGGCUCACACAUAUUUAUCAACAAACAGGUUCCAGGCUAUUCAAGACCUGAUACAGGUUCUCUCCACCAGUCCCAGAACCUUUAUACUUACCUGCCUACAACUCAUGAGGCGCCUGGCAUGUAAGACAUACGUUGUAGCACAUGCAAGGUUGCACUUCAGCUGCCUUCAACAUUGGAUUGCUUUGAUAUAUAUGCCAAACAGUCACGAUGUCCACAGAAAGGUCACUGUACCUUGUUAUGUAAAAGAAUCAUUAGCAUGGUGGACUAUCCCCGACAACUUGAUGGACAGAAUACCCUUUCACUGACCUCAACCAACUAUGCAACUUACCACCGAUGCGUCACUGCUAGGAAGGGGUGCCCAUCUACAAGACCAACAAAUCCAAGGACACUGGUCUGCUCAGGAGUCCUUGCAACAUAUUAAUCUACUCAAGUUGCAGGCAGUCUUCAAUGCCUGCCAGCACUUCCUUCCCCUGGUCCGUGGUCAUGUCAUUCGUGUCCUUACCGACAAUAUGACAAUGGUAUACUACAUAGACAAGGUGGGGCUCAAUCCCGAUCCCUUUGCACAGAGGCAAUGCAAUUAUGGAAUUGCUACAACCAACACAAAGUUACGAUUAUCGCAGCUUACCUCCAUGGCAAGCAGAACGUCACAGCCAAUGCCCUCAGCAGGCAUUUCUCAACAAAUCACAUAUGGAAAUUGCACCAAAAUGUGCUCCAUACCCUAUUCCACCGCUGGGGAUAUCCAUCUAUAGAUCUCUUCACCACGUGUCGCAGCACGAAGUGCCCUCAAUACUGCUUAAAAGCCAGAAUCGGAAGAAAGAUCAUGGGGAGAUGCUCUCCUAUGCGACUGGAGCCACCACAUUCUAUACGCCUUUCCACCUACUCCUCUCAUUCCCAAAGUCCUGGGGAAGAUAGCAAUUGAAGGAGCCAGAGUAAUACUGAUAGUCCCCUUCUGGCCAUGACAGAUGUGGUUCCCUUACCUGUUUUGCAUGUCGGUCCACCCUUCAUAUCAUCUUCCCAAAUGUCUUGACUUGCUGACACAGAACCACAGGCGCUUGAUACACCCUCAACUCGACCACCUUGCUCUGACAGCAUGGUACUGAGUUGGUUCCAACAGAGAUGAGUUGUUCCCAAGCUGUCAAACACGUUCUGUUACAUAGUAGAAGAUCCAAUACAUACAACACUUACCUGCACAAAUGGCGACACUUCUGUUCAUGGUGUUCCACCGCAAACUUGAACCCCUAUUCACCGCAUUUUGGACUAUCUUUUAGAUCUCAAACAUUCUGGCCUUGCAUUCUCCUUUCUUAAGGUACAUAUUGCAGCAAUCACUGCCUUUCAUCAGUCUGUGGAUGGCUAUUCCGUUUUUUCCCCACCCAAUGACAAAGAGAUUUAUUAAAGGGUUGGUUAAUCUCUUCCCAUGCUACAGGCAGCCUGAGGACCUUUGGAACCUGGACCUAGUUUUGGAUGCCUUAAUGCGACCCGCUUUCGAGCCCUUGGCAACUUGUGACUUAUCCACCUUGACCAUGAAGAUGGUUUUUCUGUUGCCAAUAACUUCAGUACAGAGGGUUGGGGAAAUAUCCGCCCUCUCGGCAACACCACCUUACACAAUAUUUAUCCCCCAGGGAGUAAUACUGUGCCCUCAACCAGCCUUUCUACCAAAGAUUAAUUCAGAGCUUCACAUAAAUGAACCAAUAAAUAGUUCUUCCCACAUUCUACCCUAAGCCACAUUUCUCGGCACCACAUGCACAUCUCCAUACCUUGGAUGUCCAUCGAGCAUUAGCGUUCUACAUUGACAGGACAUGGUGCUUUUGAAAGUCAUAGAGCCUCCUAUUAUCCACUGUAGAAUGUUCCAAAGGCCAUCCUUUGUCGGCACAGCGCAUAUCCAGACUCAUCGUCACAUUUAUUACACAAUGUUACUCGCUACAGAAUAAGCCUCUUCCACACGCUCUGAGGGCCCACUUAACGAGGGCGAUGGCACCUUCAACUGCCUUCCUCAAGGGAGUUCCCCUACAAGAUAUUUGCCGAGCAGCUACAUGGUCUUCCAGCUUUACAUUCGCUAAACACUACGCUAUACCUAACCUCCUUAUGACUCACGCAGCAGUUGCUUCAGCUGUCCUCUCCACAGCAGCAGGGUGAUAACUCAGAAUCCCGCCUCCUUUUAAGUAGGCUACUGCUGUGAACUCACGUACAGUGGAACACCCCGAGAGACACUGCUUGAAGAAGUUACUCACCUUGUGCAGUAAUGAUGGUUCUUCGAGAUGCACGUCCCCGUGGGUGCUCCACGACCCACCCUUCUCCCCUCUUCGGAGUACCUUGUUUAUUGUGUCUUUCAGACCCCAGAGGAUCAGAAGGAACUGGCAGAAGCCAGACCGCACACACAGAAACAGCGUGAAAGGCAUGAGACACGCAUCGUGUAUGCACAGUCCGGAAGACUAUGGCUGAAAAAGAUCUCUGAUCUGCAGCCCCGGGACAAGCCCAACACUUACAGUGGAGCACCCACGGGGACACGCAUCUUGAAGAACCAUCGUUCCUGCACAAGCUGCACCAGCUGCAUGUGCAGGGUGCAUCACCCUGCCCGGGACAUCCUCCCACACCUGAGGGCUCCACAGGAUGACCGCAACGCUGCAAGGUAUUGAUAGUAGCACCUGGGGGCCUAGCGAGCCCUGACCCACGUCAUGGAGCAGCGGGCACAGGAAGAACGGGAGUUCCGGAGGGAACUGCUUGCCCAGGAUCGUGCCAUCUGAACACAUCUGCAGUCCCUGGUGCAGAGCGUGCUGCCCCCCAAGCUACCAUUCCUCCUCCCACUUCUCCCCCUCAAUCUCCAAACCCCCCACCUCAACCUCUACACCCUCCUCCCCUUCCCCCCAGGGAUGCCAAGGCCCCCGCACCCGCUGUGCUGUGAGACAUGUGGCCCAACAAGACCCCCACCCCGAGCACUGAGCUUCCCCUCCCCCUUCCUCCUCUUGCUUCCCCCUUCCAGCUCCUUCCCUCCCAUCUCCUUUCCCCAGUAUCCCCCCAGGUUCAGUCCCCCCCGCCAUUUUGUUAAACAGAGUCUCUAUUUUUGAAAAAAGUGUAUUUUAUUUUACAUCAGGAAGGGGGGCUAAGGAGGGGUAAGUGGAAGGAUGUGAGGGAGGAAUGGGGCACGAGCCCCCACUGGGGCAGACCAGGGAGACUGUUAGUGCUCCUCAGGGCAGAAGCUCUCCCGCAGGGUCCCCUGGAUACUGACAGCCUCCCCAUGGACCUGCCCGCUGGCAGCCUGCAGCAAGUGCAGCUAGGCUGAUGGCAACACAUCCACAGGAUGCACCAGUGUGCCCAAAGGCAGCUCUGGCUCCCAGUGGCAGAAUGCUGUGGGGUCCCGAGUGAGGGCAAGCAGAGCACGCAAAGACACAAAUGCUUUGCUGUCCAUCAUCAAAGUAGACAAGCAAGCAGGGAAACCUGAGAACUGUCUGUCUGGGGUGGGGAUAGGGUCCCUCUAAGCACAGACCUCACAUAGCCUCAGGCACCAGCCACACACAGUAAGUCCUGACCUGGUGCUCUGCCAGUACUGGUUCCGGCCAGCCUUAACUCCGAUUCAGGGUCCACUGACUGUGGCUGUGCUAUUUUGAAAUAGCAAAAUGCUAGUUCAAACUGUAUUUGUGUAGAUGUGUUAAUUCAAAUGAGCUUAAUGUGAAUUAACUAGUUCAAAUUAAGAUAACUUGAAUUAACGCUGUAGUGUAGACAUACCCCACGAGAGUCUGAACAUGUCUCUUAAUAUAAGAACUGUAGUCUUCACAGAUUUUUUUCCUCACACGCAUACUCCAAUAGGUGUCACAACUGAACAAGAACGUCAGUGGGAUGAUCUAGUUUGGUAUAUUUGUGUGUUAGAGGGUGCAGAUCAACUGUUCCUGCUGUGAGAAUAUAAGAUACAAUGCAAGUGCAUCCUAAACUAAAUACAGGAUUGAUAUUGUUUUUAUGUUGUUUUCAUUAGAUGUUAAUUAAAUGCUUACAGAAGAUACCAGAAAAACUGUAAAUUCACAUGGCCAUUUUGGUAACGAUGACCAGCUGGCAAUCUAGACUCUAGUAUCAUCCUGCCUGUGAGUUAACGUCAUUUUCCCCCAAAUAGACCCUGUGAUACUAUUUCCUGAGCUCAUGCAAACAUUGUUUCUACUAUGGCUAAGGAGAGGAUUUUGUAAUUAUUCCAUGGCCUAGUGUUUGGUUGAUACUGUAAGAAGUUAAACUAGAUUUUUAGAAUUUCAGGUAUUUAUUCCUAAAAUAUGGAAACUGCUGAACAAGGAAUUUGCCAUUAGCCCAAACAUCCACCUGAAAAUUUGGUAAAUUUAAGAACAUUUCUUUUAGGUGAAGGGAGAGAUGUUUUGUCAAGUGUUUUUACUUACGAUUGAGUUGACAUUUUAGGUGCCUGCUUUUUGAUUCUGCAGUGCCCCCACAUGGUUUCAUGGUGAUCAUGAAAUCAUCGAGUUCACACUGCUAAGGAAAGGUAGAAGGGAGAACAGCAAAAUAGAGAAUGGAUUUCAGGAAGGUGGAUUUUGGUAAGCUUAGAGAGCUGAUAGGUAAGGUCCCAUGGGAAUUGAGACGGAGGAAAAACAACU